UCCGAUAUGGUGUAGUGGCUAACAUUAUCGCCUCUCAGAAGGUUGCGCGAUAGCCCGGGGUUCGAUUCCCCGUGUCGGAA